rnacentral:rRNA from 1 species
CAGCAGCCGCGGGAAUACAGAGGGUGCGAGCGUUAAUCGGAUUUACUGGGCGUAAAGCGUGCGUAGGCGGCUUUUUAAGUCGGAUGUGAAAUCCCUGAGCUUAACUUAGGAAUUGCAUUCGAUACUGGGAAGCUAGAGUAUGGGAGAGGAUGGUAGAAUUCCAGGUGUAGCGGUGAAAUGCGUAGAGAUCUGGAGGAAUACCGAUGGCGAAGGCAGCCAUCUGGCCUAAUACUGACGCUGAGGUACGAAAGCAUGGGGAGCAAACAGGAUUAGAUACCCGGGUAGUCCCUGUCUCUUAUAU